AAAGUGAUGGCUAAGUAAACCCUGAUUGCAACACCUUCAUGGUUGUUUUAUGAGAGGCAAAGUGGCCUCCACAUGCAUUCCAUGGCAAUGACUGAGGAUUCCUUGUUGCUCUUCUUCAGGUACACACUUCCUUAUUAUCUGAUCUGCACAAUACUUGAAAAGAAAGGGCUCUUCCCAAUAAUAAGCAUGAAUCUUUGCAAAGAAGUACUUCCUGUCUUGUGCUUUCCACUCACUUGGAACUUCACCAGUAACCAAACAGUUAGCAAUAUGAGC
rnacentral:lncRNA from 1 species